rnacentral:rRNA from 1 species
CCAUGUUUCGUUGAAACACCGGCUCUUAUCCGAUCACCGAAGUUAAGCAACUUUGAGCGUGGUUAGUACCUAGAUGUGUCAUCGCUUGGGAAUACCAGGUGCUGUAA